GAGUUGAAGUGACGUAAUUAACCUCAACGGGUCUUCGUCAUAACUUUGAAUUUUACUACGAUAUAGAAAAGCUUCAUACGUGUUUUAUAAGCGAUUUGAUAACACCUUAAAUUAACAUCGUUUUAUUUAUAUAAACUGAUUUUUAAAGCUACUGUACAGUAACCGAAGUGAGGACUGAACAGAUGUCAAAAUGUUCUUCGCCUUUCUUUUCGUGAUAUUGGUCACGUCUCAGCAUGCAUCCUCUGUCACCAUUCGAGCUGACUUUUCGGAGAAGCACUUAGCAGAACUGUCAAAUCCACCUACGAAAAGCGCAGUCUUUGAACGUCAAAGAGAUAUAAAAAAUAAACAUCCUCAGAGAACAAUAAAUCACAUAAUCUUUUCUAACAAUUUAGCAAACUUACAAGACGGGUUUAAAAACAGCGUUGAACAAAUGAUCCAGUUUGGAAAAUGUCCAAACACAACUGGAAACGGGAACGUAAACAACAAAAAGUGUUCUCUUAACAGCACUCUCUUUUCGGAUGGGAUCGUUUGGUCUAUGUGGCCUAACGUUAAUUCCGUGGAACCAGAAAACUGUUACUAUGUCAGGUCCUGUAACAUCACAAUAGGUCUUCUUGGACUUUCAAAUGAGAUGAAACACUUGUUUCCAAUAAAUACAUCAACAGACUGCCUCACUGUGAAAGAAUGUGAAGACCCACCAGGUGUUGAACAACUGAAAAAUGUGGGUUUAAAAGUCUCCGGAGCAACUUUUCAUUUACGAUCGCACUUUUUAAGGUAACGUCAGAGCAUGCUUUGAUCGUUUGAAUGUUUUAAAUAAAGCAUACACAUUGGUGAUAACAUAUCUU